CUAUAAUGCAGUAGAACGCUGAAGAGAGGAGCUUGCUCUUCUUGGAUGAGUUGCGAACGGGUGAGUAACGCGUAGGUAACCUGCCUUGUAGCGGGGGAUAACUAUUGGAAACGAUAGCUAAUACCGCAUAACAAUGGAUGACACAUGUCAUUUAUUUGAAAGGGGCAAUUGCUCCACUACAAGAUGGACCUGCGUUGUAUUAGCUAGUAGGUGAGGUAAUGGCUCACCUAGGCGACGAUACAUAGCCGACCUGAGAGGGUGAUCGGCCACACUGGGACUGAGACACGGCCCAGACUCCUACGGGAGGCAGCAGUAGGGAAUCUUCGGCAAUGGGGGCAACCCUGACCGAGCAACGCCGCGUGAGUGAAGAAGGUUUUCGGAUCGUAAAGCUCUGUUGUAAGUCAAGAACGGGUGUGAGAGUGGAAAGUUCACACUGUGACGGUAGCUUACCAGAAAGGGACGGCUAACUACGUGCCAGCAGCCGCGGUAAUACGUAGGUCCCGAGCGUUGUCCGGAUUUAUUGGGCGUAAAGCGAGCGCAGGCGGUUUGAUAAGUCUGAAGUUAAAGGCUGUGGCUCAACCAUAGUUCGCUUUGGAAACUGUCAAACUUGAGUGCAGAAGGGGAGAGUGGAAUUCCAUGUGUAGCGGUGAAAUGCGUAGAUAUAUGGAGGAACACCGGUGGCGAAAGCGGCUCUCUGGUCUGUAACUGACGCUGAGGCUCGAAAGCGUGGGGAGCGAACAGGAUUAGAUACCCUGGUAGUCCACGCCGUAAACGAUGAGUGCUAGGUGUUGGAUCCUUUCCGGGAUUCAGUGCCGCAGCUAACGCAUUAAGCACUCCGCCUGGGGAGUACGACCGCAAGGUUGAAACUCAAAGGAAUUGACGGGGGCCCGCACAAGCGGUGGAGCAUGUGGUUUAAUUCGAAGCAACGCGAAGAACCUUACCAGGUCUUGACAUCCCGAUGCUAUUUCUAGAGAUAGAAAGUUACUUCGGUACAUCGGUGACAGGUGGUGCAUGGUUGUCGUCAGCUCGUGUCGUGAGAUGUUGGGUUAAGUCCCGCAACGAGCGCAACCCCUAUUGUUAGUUGCCAUCAUUCAGUUGGGCACUCUAGCGAGACUGCCGGUAAUAAACCGGAGGAAGGUGGGGAUGACGUCAAAUCAUCAUGCCCCUUAUGACCUGGGCUACACACGUGCUACAAUGGUUGGUACAACGAGUUGCGAGUCGGUGACGGCGAGCUAAUCUCUUAAAGCCAAUCUCAGUUCGGAUUGUAGGCUGCAACUCGCCUACAUGAAGUCGGAAUCGCUAGUAAUCGCGGAUCAGCACGCCGCGGUGAAUACGUUCCCGGGCCUUGUACACACCGCCCGUCACACCACGAGAGUUUGUAACACCCGAAGUCGGUGAGGUAACCUUUGGAGCCAG
rnacentral:rRNA from 1 species